AAACUGCGAUACGUAGUGUGAAUUGCAGAAUUCAGUGAAUCAUCGAAUCUUUGAACGCAAAUUGCGCUGCUGGGUAUUCCCGGCAGCAUGCUUGGCUGAGUAUCAUCUGGACAAAUCGGCAAUUGCUUUUUUCGUAGUUGACCGGAACUGAGGUCGUCGCACACUCCUUGCAGUGUGGGUCCCUCCAAGUCUAGACUGGUUUAGCAUAAGCUAAAAUACAUUUUUUAGCGUUAUUGUCUUUACCGCCAGUGUGUCAAACUGUUUGCUGGCCACCUUUUUAACGAAAGGAGACAGCACAACAUCAGCACUGUCUGCGGUUCAAUAUCGCUUUAAGAUUAUAAAAUCAAAACUUUGAUCUCAGCUCAAGCAAGACUACCCGCUGAAUUUAA
rnacentral:misc_RNA from 1 species